rnacentral:rRNA from 1 species
UACGUAGGGCGCAAGCGUUGUCCGGAAUUAUUGAGCGUAAAGAGCUCGUAGGCGGCCAGUUGCGUCUGCUGUGAAAUCCCGGGGCUCAACCCCGGGCGUGCAGUGGAUACGGGCUGGCUAGAGGCAGGCAGGGGAGAACGGAAUUCCCGGUGUAGCGGUGAAAUGCGCAGAUAUCGGGAGGAACACCGGUGGCGAAGGCGGUUCUCUGGGCCUGUACUGACGCUGAGGAGCGAAAGCGUGGGGAGCGAACAGG